CUUGCGUUUCGCGUCUUGUUUAUGUGUCAUGUCAAGUUCGAAGGUUUCAUAUUAAAAACGAAAGUAGAGUCGGUCACAACAUGUGUUAUGGGCCGGGGAAACGUUCAGUCUGCCUGGGUUAUAUAUAGGUAGAUUCAUUGGUUUCGGAUCAGAAAUUAUCAAUGUUCAUGGAUUCUCAGAACACAGCAGAGAGAAGUUUAUGUUAUGAACAUUUCUUAUCAACAAACCCUGUAAGAAGAAGGACGUCUGUUCUACAGCUUGUGGUGGAUCAUAGAACACAUGAUAUCAACCAAGUUUAAAGGAAGCAUGUAUAGCCACAAUAGAAAGAUUUAAGGAUUGUGAGAAACCAAAUAUGACAAAUCAGAAUAAAUUCCAUGGGAGUGUGAAAAAAAAGAAUAGUAGAGUGUAAUCCUCAGGACUUUUUUCAGACUUCCAUUAAGUCAGGAAAUACUGUUGAACUGACAAAAUUAACAAAAAUCAUGAUUUUCAAAAAUUUAAGGAAGAUCGAUGUGCGAGUUAAGACUAAGACGGAUUUUAGGAGUUUUGAUGACAAAGAAUCAACCAUUGGAAAUAUGGCUCUUUGAACUUGGAUCUCAUUGUUGGUAAGUGAAUUAAACAUUUAUAUCAAUUAUCUUGAUUGUUAAUGACCUAGCAAUUUUA